GUGGGGAAUAUUGGACAAUGGGCGCAAGCCUGAUCCAGCCAUGCCGCGUGAGUGAUGAAGGCCUUAGGGUUGUAAAGCUCUUUUGUCCGGGAAGAUAAUGACUGUACCGGAAGAAUAAGCCCCGGCUAACUUCGUGCCAGCAGCCGCGGUAAUACGAAGGGGGCUAGCGUUGUUCGGAAUCACUGGGCGUAAAGCGCACGUAGGCGGACCAUUAAGUCAGGGGUGAAAGCCUGGAGCUCAACUCCAGAACUGGCUUUGAUACUGAUGGUCUCGAGGAUGGAAGAGGUUGGUGGAACUGCGAGUGUAGAGGUGAAAUUCGUAGAUAUUCGCAAGAACACCGGUGGCGAAGGCGGCCAACUGGUCCAUUACUGACGCUGAGGUGCGAAAGCGUGGGGAGCAAACAGGAUUAGAAACCCCGGUAGUCC
rnacentral:rRNA from 1 species